rnacentral:lncRNA from 1 species
AACCCGGGGCGGCUCCUUCCGAAGGCUCCACUCCAGCGGCUCGCUGCGGGAGACCAAGGCCAGCCGCCGUCCCAGGGGACGGCCCUCGGGGAACCUGAAUGACGUGCGAGGCCGUACCUCGGGGCGCUGGACUCCGCUCGGGCGCUCCCGCUCUCCGCUCCCGCUCUCGGGUCCCAAUCCCGACGCUCCGCGCGCUCCCGGACUAAGUGCGGACGCGCCCCACGCCCCCCGGCGCCAGCCCGGGACAGCGCUGCACCUGUUGCCACGUGCGACGCGGCGCUCAGCGGCUGCCACUGCCGCCGGCGCACCUGGCUGCACCGCGCGUCCCGGGACCACGCUCGUCCCCGCAGGAGCCCGGGGCUCCGCCGCACCCAGCGCUAGGGCCCAGGCCGGGCCGCGUCAGUCAACGAACAUUCGAGAUCCUGUCAUGUGUCAGACACUGUGCGGAGAGCUGGAGAUAAAACUGUCAACAAGAUGAAUGCAGCCUCUAAAAUAAAGAGUUUCUAAUCCAGUG